AGGGCACCACCAGGAGUGGAGCCUGCGGCUUAAUUUCACUCAACACGGGAAAACUCACCCGGCCCGGACACCGUGAGGAUUGACAGAUUGAUAGCUUUUUCAUGAUUCGGUGGUUGGUGGUGCAUGGCCGUUCUUAGUUCGUGGAUCGAUUUGUCUGGUUUAUUCCGAUAACGAGCGAGACUCCAGCCUACUAAAUAGUGCGGGCAUUGCUUCUGUGCCUCGCACUUCUUAGAGGGAUUGGCUGCGUCUAGCGGCACGAAACGGAGCAAUAACAGGUCUGUGAUGCCCUUAGAUGUCCGGGGCUGCACGCGCGCUACACUGGCAAAGGCAGCGUGCUUGUCCAUCUCCGAAAGGAGCUGGUAAGCCCUUGAAAAUUUGCCGUGAUUGGGAUCGGAAAUUGCAAUUAUUUUCCGUGAACGAGGAAUUCCUAGUAAGUGCGAGUCAUCAGCUCGCGUUGAUUACGUCCCUGCCCUUUGUACACACCGCCCGUCGCUGCCUAGAACUGAGCCAUUUCGAGAA
rnacentral:rRNA from 1 species